AGAGGCCACUGCUAUCCGGCUGGGACUAAGCCAUGCGAGUCCAGGGGCUUGCCGCAAGGCAAGCACCGGCGGACGGCUCAGUAACACGUGGACAACCUGCCCUCGGGAGGGGGAUAACCCCGGGAAACUGGGGCUAAACCCCCAUAGGGGAUGGAUACUGGAAUGUUCCAUCUCCGAAAGUCCGCAAGGAGCCCGAGGAUGGGUCUGCGGCGGAUUAGGUAGUUGGUGGGGUAACGGCCCACCAAGCCUAAGAUCCGUACGGGCCAUGGGAGUGGGAGCCCGGAGAUGGACCCUGAGACAAGGGUCCAGGCCCUACGGGGNGCAGCAGGCGCGAAACCUCCGCAAUGCGGGAAACCGCGACGGGGUCAGCCGGAGUGCCGAUGCUUGCAUCGGCUGUCGGGGAGCCUAAAAAGCUCCCCAAGCAAGGGCCGGG
rnacentral:rRNA from 1 species